rnacentral:rRNA from 1 species
UGCGUAGGUGGCGAGCGUUGUCCGGAUUUACUGGGCGUAAAGAGCGCGCAGGCGGCUGGUCAAGUCCGAUGUGAAAGCUCCCGGCUUAACUGGGAAAUUGCAUCGGAAACUGAUCGGCUGGAAGGUGGGAGAGGGUAGCGGAAUUCCCGGUGUAGUGGUGAAAUGCGUAGAUAUCGGGAGGAACACCAGUGGCGAAAGCGCGCGACUGGACCGAGACUGACACUGAGGGACGAAAGCUAGGGGAGCGAAAGGG